rnacentral:lncRNA from 1 species
AUUUAUAAAUAAACUUUUAGAAAUAUGUUUUUAGCAAUUUAAAAGUAAAGGCUGAAAAAAAAACUAAGCUGAAAAAACAUCAAAAUCAACUCUAAAUUGAAGAUUGAAAAUUUAUACUUUGGUUUAUGAGCAUAGGCAGAAAUGAAAAAAUGCGCCGUAAAUAGAUAUAGCAAUAACAUGCUUCAAACAAAAGGCCAUUAACACUCAAAUAGCGGGAUUAAUUUCAAUAUGUUUCUAGCUAAUAAAUUUGAAUAGUAAAAGAAAAAACUUUGAGAGCCGAUGUAUUGGAUAGAAAGGAACUGAGCAAAGUUGCAGCGUAAGGAAC